GAUGAACGCUGGCGGCGUGCCUAAUACAUGCAAGUCGAGCGAACAGAUAAGGAGCUUGCUCCUUUGACGUUAGCGGCGGACGGGUGAGUAACACGUGGGUAACCUACCUAUAAGACUGGGAUAACUUCGGGAAACCGGAGCUAAUACCGGAUAACAUUUGGAACCGCAUGGUUCUAAAGUGAAAGAUGGUUUUGCUAUCACUUAUAGAUGGGCCCGCGCCGUAUUAGCUAGUUGGUAAGGUAACGGCUUACCAAGGCGACGAUACGUAGCCGACCUGAGGGGGUGAUCGGCCACACUGGAACUGAGACACGGUCCAGACUCCUACGGGAGGCAGCAGUAGGGAAUCUUCCGCAAUGGGCGAAAGCCUGACGGAGCAACGCCGCGUGAGUGAUGAAGGGUUUCGGCUCGUAAAACUCUGUUAUUAGGGAAGAACAAAUGUGUAAGUAACUGUGCACGUCUUGACGGUACCUAAUCAGAAAGCCACGGCUAACUACGUG
rnacentral:rRNA from 1 species